UACGUAGGGGGCAAGCGUUGUCCGGAAUCAUUGGGCGUAAAGCGCGUGUAGGCGGUCCGGUAAGUCCGCUGUGAAAGUCGGGGGCUCAACCCUCGGAUGCCGGUGGAUACUGUCGGGCUUGAGUACGGAAGAGGCGAGUGGAAUUCCUGGUGUAGCGGUGAAAUGCGCAGAUAUCAGGAGGAACACCGAUGGCGAAGGCAGCUCGCUGGGACGGUACUGACGCUGAGACGCGAAAGCGUGGGGAGCGAACAGG
rnacentral:rRNA from 1 species